UAAAAAUAAAAAUUAACCUUUUGCAUAUAUAACCGGUAUAAAACAUAAAAUAUUUUAACAUUAAUGUUAUUUUUGAAUUGUGUAUUAAAUGAUGGCACAGGUAUCUGUCUAAACUAUAAAUUCUGUAUUCCAUUAAAUUUUGUCAUUAAUUUUGUUGGUGAAGAGUAAGAAAAAAAUAUAUUUUAGUUUUAAUAGCAUCCACGCCAAAUUCUUGCGGUAAAGUAAGUUUAAUAUAAGAUUAGAAUUCAUAUUUGUCUUCAUUUAUGUCUCAAAUUCCAUUUCCAUGUGUGGUGUGUAUCAUAAAAUUACAACAGAAAACCGCCGAACUGCUGGUUUAUAUUUAUUUAUCCUAACUUAUAAUUCACAUUAUCCACAGCGUAAAAAGAGAAUGCAUGAUAUACAAUAUGCCAAUCUGUAGUUAGUCCAAUUUUACUAAUAAUAGUCAGGCACAAUAAAUGUAUAACUUAUAAAAUUGUGAAAUGUUAUUUUUUUUUUAAAUAAAUUAAAUAGAAUAAAAAACCAGUUUUGUUGUUUAUUCGAGAAAUUUUUGUCCGAAAAACGAGAAGAUAAUUAAUUAAAUUUAUUUAUCAAAUGAAUAAUACUUAAAUAUAAUUAAUUAAUUGAAUGGUGGUUAUAAAUCUUGUAGUUUCAAUAAAUUCGAAAUUAUUAAUAUCAGAGAAGAAGAGAAACUUAUUGCAUCAGUCGAUAAAGGUGGGAAAAAUUUACUAUAGGUUUUACGUAAAAAAUGAUGAAUUAUAUGAUACACUAAAUGAGAUAUACGUUAAUAUUGGUCGUUGUGGUAAGCAUUGAGUGAAUAUAGAAAUAAAAAAAUUAAUACAGGUAUUUGACUCAAAAAGUGAUACUUUCUUAAAAUUUUGAGGAGCAUGUCAAACCAAAAUCUCAUCUAACCGAAAAGUGCUUGUAGGUAAACCGUUUAUUCAUUCUGAAUGAAUUUUAUAGUAAAUUAAUUGCAUAUGCAUUAAACAUUUUCUUUAAUAAUAUUUGUUUAAUUUUAUAUAAAUUUACCCGUUCUCUCGGUUUUUCCUAGUGAUACUUUCUUAAAAUUUUGCGGAGCAUGUCAAACACAAACGUCAUCUAACCGAAAAGUGCUUGUAGGUAAACCGUUUAAUCAUUCAGAAUGAAUAUCAUAGUAAAUUAAUUUCAUAUGCAUUAAACAUUUUCUUUUAUAAUAUUUGUUUAAUUUUAUAUCAAUUUACCCGUUCUCUCGGUUUUUCCUAUUUAUAAGUGUACAUGCGUUAAUCAAGACUUGGAGACAACAAAAUGAUUGUAGCUCACUUUUUACCUAAUCAAAUUUAUUUUAAUACUAAAAUAAUACUAUUAACAAAAGUAAUUUUAUUACUUAUUACUAAUAGUANUAACAUUUACUACCUCCUAAUUAUAGUCAUAUCAAAAUAACAAAUCGUACAAGUAGUAAUUGGCACAUAAUAGGUAUGUAGGCAUCUAUAUUAUAUUAUUCACGACUAAUAUCAUACGUAAAUAUUUUAUAAAACUAUGGUAUGCAAUUAUAUCAAUAAAUAUAAAUAAAUCAUCAUUUAUCUUUUAUAGUAAACAAAAAAGGGUAAAUUUCCGUAAUUUUAGUAAUUUUCGAAUUAUAAUACCCACGAAAAACCAAACUGAUUUUGUCUAAUUAAAAUCAACUUUUGUUGAAUAGGUGAUUUACAAAUUUGGCGACCUCUAGCAAGAACAUUUGGAUAAUCAGUCGACUACUGCCAUAACGUAACGUUUAGAAAAUUUUACUGUUAUCAAGAAUCAUACAUAUUUCCGACAAAUUGAUUUAUAAAACCAAAACUUUCAACUGAAAUAUUUAAGAUAAGGGCAAAAAACUUAACUUUGUGUCUUCUUUAAAUAUCGUAUCAUUUGCGUAUCUAUAUCUGAUUAAUUGAAAACAUGCCAUUAAAAUUUACCGCUGGUUAUGUUAUUAUCUAUUCUUUUAUGUUAGUGUUAGUACACGGUGACGGUGGAGGUACUCCUAAUGACCUACCUAUCGCUAAUAACCCUAACCCGCCACCUGAUAAUGCACCCCCAGCUGAUUGCCCCCCACCUUGUAAGAGAGACUUUCUUUGGAUCCAAAAUGUGUGUAAAAGAGGUGUACGUGAAUAUAGUCCCACUGUAUAUAAUUGUUUUUGUUGUAAGUGACGAUUUCAAUUAUUAAAGGCCCAAUUGCCAUUUAUUAUGCAAAUUCAAUAAUAAUGUUAAGUAUUCCAAAAGAUCUUUCCAUAAUUUAUUCUUAUAAAGAAGCACACUCACAAAUUGAGGCACUGCAAACAAUUAAAUUAAUUUACACCUACUCACUACAAAAUAAAUUGGGAUGACAUAAAGUGCAUAUAUCCUAAUAAUUAUAUAGUAUAAUAACUUUGCUGUGUUAACUAUAUAAUAACGUUAUUUUUGCAUAUUUAAAAAAUAAAACAUUAAAUGUCAACUUUUGUCCGUACAGUAUUUUUGUAAUACAUUUAUCAUAAGUGAUAAAAUAAAAUAGUUUUUAAAUACAGUUUAUUUGUUGUAUUGAUUUCAUGAGACAUUACUUACACAUCAUAUUACCUAUGAAGUUCCUGCGGACCGUAGUUAUUGCUUUGUGAUAUUGAAAACCACAACUCCAAUAUUAAGACAAAACAAUUACUUUCAUUGCAUUUUUUUAAAAUAAAAUACGUUCUUUAUAUUUAACAUAAUACGAGUCGUAGGGAAAUUAAUUUAAAUUAAAAAAAACUUAUUUUAAACGGUAAUUCUUUUAGAAAUGUUUACGUAAAGAACAAAAUAUGUUCCUUAAUAUAGUGUAAUUCUUAAACAAAUCAUUGUUGUGAAAUCAUUAUAUUCGACUGAACAUGACUUAGACUUCGAUUGUUCGUCAGCGAUGGUAACCAUCAAUU
rnacentral:lncRNA from 1 species